CCCAAUAAAAGAUGGGCUUCUCUUGAGCUCUUGAUGAUAAAAGUUUUCAAAACACCCUAAUUUGAGGUUAGGGUUUUAGAUCUGUCUCUAAUAGCGCGCACACCCGAGAGAAGUAGAAGCGUCUUCGAUUGCAAGGGCGAAGAUGUUUCCCGGAAUGUUCAUGAGGAAGCCGGAUAAGGCGGAGGCGUUGAAGCAGCUCAAGACCCACGCGGCAAUGUUCGGAGUUUGGGUUGCUGUCAUUCGGGUCACACCUUACGUUCUCCAUUAUUUCUCCGAUAGCAAAGAAGAACUCAAGCUCGAACUCUAAUUUCCUUCACAGGUAAAAUUACAUAUUCGUUUCCUAGUGUGUGAUCAGACGUGCUUGAAUAAGGGGAUGCAGAUGACUCAUUUAUUUGUAAACCAAUCUAAUUUAUAGUUAGUUUCGAAGGAAAUGCAAAAUGGGGGAAGGAACUGAGCCAAGAGUUAUGUUUACUUUGAAUUUUUUUUUUUCAUCAUCUUAAUUUUUCCUCUUCUGCUGUAUCUUUCCAGCCUGCAAACCCGAGGUAGCUCAAUUAUUCGAACUAAAAAUCUAGUUUGGGUUACUGCUUUUGAUCUUUAGAUUUUAUGAGAGUGUUGAUAUGAAGCUUGUAUUCAAAAGGUGUGUGUGGCUAAGUACAUAUGUUUGUCUUCGUUAUGAUUUUCCUA